rnacentral:tRNA from 1 species
GGGAAGGCGGCCGUAGAGGUGUUAAGUUGUAGCCUUAAUCAUGAAAUCAGAGUGUUUCUCUUCCUA